rnacentral:rRNA from 1 species
AGAGUUUGAUCAUGGCUCAGAACUAACGCUGGCGGCGUGCCUAACACAUGCAGGUCGAACGAGAAAGUUGGCUUCGGCCGAUGAGUAAAGUGGCGCACGGGUGAGUAACGCGUGGAUAAUCUGCCCCUGAGUUCGGAAUAACGUACCGAAAGGUGCGCUAAUACCGGAUAAUACUGAGUGACUACUGUCACUUAGUCAAAGAAGGCUUCUGUUUACAUGCUUUUGCUUUGGGAUGAGUCCGCGUACCAUUAGCUAGUUGGUAGGGUAAUGGCCUACCAAGGCGACGAUGGUUAGCUGGUCUGAGAGGAUGAUCAGCCACACUGGAACUGAGACACGGUCCAGACUCCUACGGGAGGCAGCAGUGAGGAAUAUUGCGCAAUGGGGGCAACCCUGACGCAGCAACGCCGCGUGAGUGAGGAAGGUUUUCGGACCGUAAAGCUCUGUCGAGCGGGAAGAAAUACAUCAUGGCUAAUAUCCAUGGUGCUUGACGGUACCGCUAAAGGAAGCACCGGCUAACUCCGUGCCAGCAGCCGCGGUAAUACGGGGGGUGCAAGCGUUGUUCGGAAUUAUUGGGCGUAAAGAGCGUGUAGGCGGCUGAAUAAGUCAGAUGUGAAAUCCCUGGGCUUAACCCAGGACGUGCAUUUGAAACUAUUCAGCUUGAGUAGGGGAGAGGAAAGUGGAAUUCCUGGUGUAGAGGUGAAAUUCGUAGAUAUCAGGAGGAACACCGGUGGCGAAGGCGACUUUCUGGCCCUAUACUGACGCUGAGGCGCGAGAGCGUGGGUAGCAAACAGGAUUAGAUACCCUGGUAGUCCACGCUGUAAACGAUGUUCACUAGGUGUUGGGGGUAUUGACCCUCUCAGUGCCGCAGCUAACGCAUUAAGUGAACCGCCUGGGGAGUACGGUCGCAAGAUUAAAACUCAAAUGAAUUGACGG